rnacentral:rRNA from 1 species
GAUGAACGCUGGCGGCGUGCCUAAUACAUGCAAGUCGAGCGAACAGAUGAGGAGCUUGCUCCUCUGACGUUAGCGGCGGACGGGUGAGUAACACGUGGAUAACCUACCUAUAAGACUGGGAUAACUUCGGGAAACCGGAGCUAAUACCGGAUAAUAUAUUGAACCGCAUGGUUCAAUAGUGAAAGACGGUUUUGCUGUCACUUAUAGAUGGAUCCGCGCCGCAUUAGCUAGUUGGUAAGGUAACGGCUUACCAAGGCAACGAUGCGUAGCCGACCUGAGAGGGUGAUCGGCCACACUGGAACUGAGACACGGUCCAGACUCCUACGGGAGGCAGCAGUAGGGAAUCUUCCGCAAUGGGCGAAAGCUUGACGGAGCAACGCCGCGUGAGUGAUGAAGGUCUUCGGAUCGUAAAACUCUGUUAUUAGGGAAGAAAAAAUGUGUAAGUAACUAUGCACGUCUUGACGGUACCUAAUCAGAAAGCCACGGCUAACUACGUG